rnacentral:rRNA from 1 species
AUGAUGAGGGCACUGACUAAAGAUGACCUACUGAGACUGUCACAGGAAGAACUGAUACUCAAUGAUACAUUGUCAUUCACUGCCCUCCUACAUUCAUACAUUAUAUACAAGGUACAUUCUGGAGACGCAUCAACGAAUGUUGUGGAAACUAUUCAGCAGAACUACAAGAGCAAGGUAGAUGGUAGUUUCAACACAGAAAUAGACAACAAUCAUACUUUGCAGACAUUGGAGGGAGACUUGCAUCAUGAAGUGGCAGAAAGUGAAGAUGGUGGAGGAGAAUCUAAUCCAUGGGACAGAAACCUGUUCUACAACUUGAAUCUGCAACAGGAGCCUGAGGAUGUCGACAUAAGAGGGGCAGGAGCUAAAACAAACUCAAGCGCAGACCAUAGCAAUGAAGAAGGAGAUAGAGAAGAACAAGAAGACUCACUUGGGCAAGAUGCAGAGGAUGAAUUCCUUGAUGAAGAAGACAUUGAGAGGUUCCUGCAAAAUGAACAAGAUGCUGCAUUAGAAGGCAAUCUCAUGAACACUAGCAGUAAUUUCAAGCCACAUUUAGGCAUGCAGUUCAAAACAAAGGAAGCACAGGAAUAUUUCAACUUCUACUCAAAAGUAGCAGGCUUUUCAGUGGCUACAGUAGCAAUCUCAAGAACAACAAGCAGAAAAAGUAACAAUGAGGUGAAAAGGAUCACUAUGAAGUACAACAAGUGGGGCAAGACAAAGGAAAUAGAGAAGGACUACAUAGUGCCCAUGAGAAAAUCUAUAGUCAUUGCUAAAACAGAUUGUAAAGUCGUGAUGGUCAUAUCAGAGAAAGGAGGCUUAUGGGAAAUUACAAGACAACAACUAGUACACAACCAUGAAUUAACACCAAAUAGUAGAUUCUUCAGGUCUCAUAAGUACAUGUCAGAUGAAGAGAAGUGCUUGAUAAGGGUUUUGAAGCACACAAACCUGGAAUCAAGAAGGAUUGUUGCUGUCCUGGCUUACUUGUGA